rnacentral:rRNA from 1 species
UACGGAGGGGGCAAGCGUUGUUCGGAAUUACUGGGCGUAAAGGGCGCGCAGGCGGCUGCUCAAGUCAGGCGUGAAAUCCCUCGGCUCAACUGAGGAACUGCCUUUGAAACUGUCUGGCUUGAGGCCGGGAGAGGGUAGCGGAAUUCCCAGUGUAGCGGUGAAAUGCGUAGAUAUUGGGAGGAACACCAGUGGCGAAGGCGGCUACCUGGACCGGUUCUGACGCUGAGGCGCGAAAGCGUGGGUAGCAAACAGG